rnacentral:rRNA from 1 species
CGAGCGAAGUCUUCGGACUUAGCGGCGGACGGGUGAGUAACGCGUGGGAACAUACCCUUUGGUACGGAAUAGCCUCGGGAAACUGGGAGUAAUACCGUAUGUGCCCUUCGGGGGAAAGAUUUAUCGGAGAAAGAUCGGCCCGCGUUAGAUUAGAUAGUUGGUGGGGUAAUGGCCUACCAAGCCGACGAUCCAUAGCUGGUUUGAGAGGACGAUCAGCCACACUGGGACUGAGACACGGACCAGACUCC